rnacentral:rRNA from 1 species
UCCUACGGGGGGCAGCAGUAGGGAAUCUUCCACAAUGGACGAAAGUCUGAUGGAGCAACGCCGCGUGAGUGAAGAAGGGUUUCGGCUCGUAAAGCUCUGUUGGUAGUGAAGAAAGAUAGAGGUAGUAACUGGCCUUUAUUUGACGGUAAUUACUUAGAAAGUCACGGCUAACUACGUGCCAGCAGCCGCGGUAAUACGUAGGUGGCAAGCGUUGUCCGGAUUUAUUGGGCGUAAAGCGAGGGCAGGCGGUUGAAUAAAUCU